rnacentral:lncRNA from 1 species
UUUUUUACAUUAAAAUAAAUUUAAAACAUUCAUUUAGUGCAUAUUUAUGCUACUUAUUUAAUUAAUAGAAAAUUUAUAUAUAUUAAAAUAAAUUAUGUAAAUAAAUGAAAUGUUAAAUAAGAAAUACUUUCAUUUUUUAUUAGUUAGUGGUAUUAAUAAAAUUCAACUUUCAUUUUAAAUUGAUGAUAGUUUAAAAUUUUAAAUGUGUUACUGAGUUUAAGAAUGUAAGUAAAUUUUAAAUUUAUGGUAGAAUAAAAACAACAUUUAUGUAAUUGUAUAUAUAAAUUUUUUAAAGGGAAAAAAUAAAAUUGAAAGUGAAAUAUUA